GUACUGAAAUGCAUGGUGGGAAAUCAGUGUGAAAUUCAUUGGCUGUUCCUGCAACUGUUAUAGUCAAAGCGCCACCCAGUAC
ncrna:unclassified sequences AdoCbl variant RNA